GAUAGAUUCGGAGUAGUCGUACCAGAACUGCUGCUUGGUUGCUGAUGGUGCUGGGAUCUGAGUGUUUCAUUGAGCAUCUUCAACACAAUCUGCUGCUGUAUGGCUGAAGUGGACAUACAUAUCUUUACUGGAUGUGGACAAGGCCAUUUUGGUCAGAAUCCAUUUGAUGUUUUUUUUUCCGUUUCUUUCUCACAAUCAAGAUGAGGGGAGUGUGGUUGGCGUCUUGGAGGUGUGACCAAAAUUUGGAGUGGUGGUACCGAAUAAACUGUAGACAAUCUUCGUGGCGGAGUAGACUGCUGUGGUUGUGAUUGGACAUCAGACCUUGCUUUCUUUGUUGCUACAUGUACUUUUGUUUAGUGUGCUACAGGAGUCCUCCUUCUGCUGGUCAAAACUUCUUGGGAUGGACCUGGAAUUUAAAGUGUACUUUUGUUAUGGCUAUUCCUUUACAAACAUAACCUAUACUACAAUGGACACUUUACCUGCUUCUGCAGCGUUGUCAUCAUCAGAUGUAAUGGGAGUGACUUUAGGCCGACCAGUACUGCUUUUUUUCAACACUGUAAAUAAUGAAACAAAUAAAAGAACUCAUUUCUUCAUGCUAUUGUUGAUACAU